rnacentral:rRNA from 1 species
GACGAACGCUGGCGGCGUGCUUAACACAUGCAAGUCGAACGGAAAGGCCCUGCUUGCAGGGUACUCGAGUGGCGAACGGGUGAGUAACACGUGGGUGAUCUGCCCUGCACUUCGAGAUAAGCCUGGGAAACUGGGUCUAAUACCGGAUAGGAGCCAUUUUGAGUGUGAUGGUUGGAAAGUUUUUUCGGUGUAGGAUGAGCUCGCGGCCUAUCAGCUUGUUGGUGGGGUAAUGGCCUACCAAGGCGGCGACGGGUAGCCGGCCUGAGAGGGUGGACGGCCACAUUGGGACUGAGAUACGGCCCAGACUCCUACGGGAGGCAGCAGUGGGGAAUAUUGCACAAUGGGCGCAAGCCUGAUGCAGCGACGCCGCGUGGGGGAUGACGGCCUUCGGGUUGUAAACUCCUUUCGCUAGGGACGAAGCUUUUUGUGACGGUACCUAGAGAAGAAGCACCGGCUAACUACGUG